GGCAGCCGCCGCGGGUAACACCGGCGGCCCGAGUGGUGAUCGUGAUUAUUGGGUCUAAAGGGUCCGUAGCCGGUUUGGUCAGUCCUCCGGGAAAUCUGAUAGCUCAACUAUUAGGCUUUCGGGGGAUACUGCCAGACUUGGAACCGGGAGAGGUAAGAGGUACUACAGGGGUAGGAGUGAAAUCUUGUAAUCCCUGUGGGACCACCUGUGGCGAAGGCGUCUUACCAGAACGGGUUCGACGGUGAGGGACGAAAGCUGGGGGCACGAACCGGAUUAGAUACCCGGGUAGUCCCAGCCGUAAACGAUGCUCGCUAGGUGUCAGGCAUGGCGCGACCGUGUCUGGUGCCGCAGGGAAGCCGUGAAGCGAGCCACCUGGGAAGUACGGCCGCAAGACUGAAACUUAAAGGAAUUGGCGGGGGAGCACAACAACGGGUGGAAGCCUGCGGUUUAAUUGGACUCAACGCCGGACAACUCACCGGGGGCGACAGCAAUAUGUAGGCCAAGCUGAAGACUUUGCCUGAAUCGCUGAGGGGUGGUGCAUGG
rnacentral:rRNA from 1 species